rnacentral:rRNA from 1 species
UACGUAGGUGGCGAGCGUUGUUCGGAUUUAUUGGGCGUAAAGGGUCCGCAGGGGGUUUGCUAAGUCUGAUGUGAAAUCCCGGAGCUCAACUCCGGAACUGCAUUGGAGACUGGUAGACUAGAGUAUCGGAGAGGUAAGCGGAAUUCCAGGUGUAGCGGUGGAAUGCGUAGAUAUCUGGAAGAACACCGAAAGCGAAGGCAGCUUACUGGACGGUAACUGACCCUCAGGGACGAAAGCGUGGGGAUCAAACAGGAUUAGAUACCCUGGUAGUCCACGCUGUAAACGUUGUGAACUUGAUGUGGGGGGAUUUAGCCCCUUCCGUAUCGUAGCUAACGCGAUAAGUUCACCGCCUGGGGACUACGGCCGCAAGGCUAAA